GCGUGUCGUACGUCUGUAGGCGCGACUACACACGGUUGCCAAAGAGCGUGAUCACUUGACGCGAUCUUAAUUAGCUUAUUCGUACAGCACUGCUCGGUACUGUAACUGCAAGGCGGACCCCGAUGACAGGAGACCGAGACAAAGCUAGUAGAAGUUUUACAAACAAACGCCGUGGCCCAGGUUAAGCCUGGCAGUGCGUGUGGACCUCUAACACCCGGUUCUUUUAUUCUGGUCGAGGUGAUUCUUCAAUGACCAGGCUGGAUGAAAAACCUAACAAAUUAUUUGAACCGGUGGCACGGUGGGAAACUGCUUAGCACAUCUGCUUCACAGUUCUGAGGACCGGAGAUCAAAUCACAGACCCGCCUUUGUGGAGUUUGCAUGUUCUCCCCGUGCCUGGGUGGGUUUUGUCCGGGUACUCCGGUUUCCUCCCACAUCCCCAAAACAUGUGUGGUAGGUUGAUUGAAGACUCUAAAUUGCCCGUAGGUGUGUGUUGUGUGUUUCUAUUUGCCCUGCGAUUGGCUGGCGACCAUUUCAGGGUGUACCCCGCCUCUCGCCCGAAGAUAGCUGGGAUAUUGUCCAGCACGCCCGCGAUCCUAGUGAGGAUAAGCGGUACAGAAAAUGGAUGGCUGGAUGGAUUAUUUGAACCAAAUAUACAGAGUCAAGCUAUAAGGUUGGUGAAGGUACAGUGCUGAGGUCUUCAGACAGCUCCGGGUGAAAAAGUCUUCCGCCAUGGUCUUUUAUAGUGGAGACUCGUUUCCUGUCGUGACGUCAUCCCGUCGCAGACCAAUUCCAGCUUCACCUCAGUGUCUGUUGAUAUGUAGUGCGAUUGUUGCUCUGUGUGACUUAACUUUGACAUAUGUACAAAUGUACAUAUAGUGCAACUAUUGUUUGUGAGAAGAUCUGGGUAUGUAUCUAAAAUGGAAUGUGACAGACAAAAGCAUGUAUGCAGUAUUAUGUUAGCACACAGCCAGCAGUUUAUAUCAGAGCACCUGUAGAAAUAUUAAACAUCUACAUUGUAUUUUGUUUUACCAAUGUCUUCAACAACUACCAAAAAUGACCAUGUCCGAUGUGCAUAUAUGAUCUUAUAUGUAUAAAUAAAUGAUAUAUGUGUAUUUAACUUUUGUCCAAAGACACCAGCGAUAAAGAAAACUAAAUUUUAGCAAGUUCGGGUUCAAACCAUCAUGUCAUCAGCCUGUAGUUAUUGCAGCACACACAGUAAGUUUGCUAACAUGUUUUCCGGGUUUGAUCACGCGAGGUUCCGCAUAAACCGGAUUACUUACGUAGUGUAGUAGUCCUUCCUGUGUUGAAUGUAUGCCUAUAAGGGGAGCGGCCUACUCAAUGACGUCAGGAGCUGGAUUCAGUGGCAAACUGGCUUGUGACCAGUCCAGGGUGUACCCCGCUUCUCUUGCCAAAAAGUCAAUUUAGGUUAGUGGAAGACUGCUUUGUGUCUGCGUGCUCACCAGAUACUGCAGCUACCUCCCACAUUCCCAAAACAUAAAUGUUCGGUUCAUUAAAAUUCUUACAAUUUUC